rnacentral:rRNA from 1 species
AGAGUUUGAUCCUGGCUCAGGAUGAACGCUAGCGGCAGGCCUAAUACAUGCAAGUCGAGGGAGAAGUUGCUUUCGGGCAGCAGGAACCGGCGAACGGGUGCGUAACACGUAUGCAACCUACCUAUAACUGGGGGAUAGCCCGAAGAAAUUCGGAUUAAUACCCUAUAAUAUUUACUACUCGCAUGAGUUGGUAUCUUAAAACUCCGGUGGUUAUAGAUGGGCAUGCGGCCUAUUAGUUUGUUGGUGAGGUAACGGCUCACCAAGACUACGAUAGGUAGGGGUUCUGAGAGGAUGAUCCCCCACACUGGUACUGAGACACGGACCAGACUCCUACGGGAGGCAGCAGUAGGGAAUAUUGGUCAAUGGACGCAAGUCUGAACCAGCCAUGCCGCGUGCAGGAAGACGGCCCUAUGGGUUGUAAACUGCUUUUAUAUAGGAAGAAACCUUUCCACGUGUGGAAAGCUGACGGUACUAUUUGAAUAAGGACCGGCUAACUCCGUGCCAGCAGCCGCGGUAAUACGGAGGGUCCAAGCGUUGUCCGGAUUUAUUGGGUUUAAAGGGUACGUAGGCGGGAUUUUAAGUCAGUGGUGAAAGCCUCCAGCUCAACUGGAGAACUGCCAUUGAAACUGAAAUUCUUGAAUAUGGAUGAGGUGGUUGGAAUAUAACAUGUAGCGGUGAAAUGCUUAGAUAUGUUAUAGAACACCAAUUGCGAAGGCAGAUCACUAAACCAUUAUUGACGCUGAGGUACGAAAGCGUGGGGAGCGAACAGGAUUAGAUACCCUGGUAGUCCACGCCGUAAACGAUGUUCACUCGCUGUUGGCGAUAUACUGUCAGCGGCCAAGCGAAAGCAUUAAGUGAACCACCUGGGGAGUACGAUCGCAAGGUUGAAACUCAAAGGAAUUGACGGGGGCCCGCACAAGCGGAGGAACAUGUGGUUUAAUUCGAUGAUACGCGAGGAACCUUACCUGGGCUUAAAUGUAGAUUGCAUAAUUUAGAAAUAGAUUUUCCCUUCGGGGCUAUUUACAAGGUGCUGCAUGGUUGUCGUCAGCUCGUGCCGUGAGGUGUCGGGUUAAGUCCCAUAACGAGCGCAACCCCUAUCGUUAGUUGCCAGCGGAUAAUGCCGGGGACUCUAGCGAGACUGCCACCGUAAGGUGAGAGGAAGGUGGGGAUGACGUCAAAUCAGCACGGCCCUUAUGUCCAGGGCUACACACGUGUUACAAUGGCCAGUACAAAGGGAUGCUACCAGGCAACUGGAUGCAAAUCUCGAAAACUGGUCUCAGUUCG